UACAGAGGGUGCGAGCGUUAAUCGGAAUUACUGGGCGUAAAGCGCGCGUAGGCGGCUUUGCAAGCCGGAUGUGAAAUCCCCGGGCUUAACCUGGGAACUGCAUUCGGGACUGCAUUGCUAGAGUAUGGGAGAGGGAAGUGGAAUUUCAGGUAUAGCGGUGAAAUGCGUAGAUAUCUGAAGGAACAUCAGUGGCGAAAGCGACUUCCUGGACCAAUACUGACGCUCAUGUGCGAAAGCGUGGGGAGCAAACAGG
rnacentral:rRNA from 1 species